UGUGGGGGCUCAGUGGUACGGCACUUGCCUAGCAUGCAUGAGGUCCUGGGUUCAAUCCCCAGUACCACAA
rnacentral:tRNA from 1 species